CGCUACUUCGAAGUUCUGAAUGUAUUUCUCAGGUAGUUGUUACCUUAUUUUUAACUUUCCGUCCCACCCAGGGGGACUGUAUAAUUAUCACACAUAUAAUACUUAUUUUUUGUCCGAUCGGAACGUCUGGGACAUGUUCCUUAUACCCUCAUUUUUCAGAUGAGGAAGGUUUGGAGGUCCUUAUAUAAAAUAUCGAAAAUUGGCGACAAUGAAAAAUAUAUGGAAUUAAAAUUUUUCUACGCAGGCUAUGUUUUGGAUGAUGUUUAUAAUAUAGCAUUUGUAAAUUCUGAACGCUGAUUGGCUAAGAGCCGUUUUGAUAUUAGUCAAUGUCAACACGGAACAUUUCUUUCUUUAUAUCUCUUUGUGCUAUAUUAUAAAAAAAUAUAAAACAUUUUUUCCGUAUUAAUAUACAGUUAUAUCUCUCGGAAAUUGGGAAAACUUGUGGAAAUUGGGAAAACUCGAAAUUGUGUGAAAACACUCCGCCUUUCGAGCAUCGUGUUUCCACACAAUUUCUCGUUUUCCAAAUUCCCACUCGUGUUGAUAUAACUGUAUAUCAACAAGGGGGAAAAUGUUUUAUAUUUGUUGAUUAUCAUUCGAAGAGGCCAGAGGGGAGGGCCCCCCAUACCUCUUCACAAUAUGCUUUCACGUAAAAAUAUUUUGCCUUUUCACGAGUCACGGAUUAAGAAAAUCAUCGAUCACGUUUCACGGCUAAGUAAAAUAAGCCCUUCACGCUUCACGUAAAAAGUAUAGGGAGCCCGAUCACGUUUCACGGCUAAGUAAAAUAAGCCCUUCACGCUUCACGCAAAAAGUAUAGGGGGCCCUCAGAGGGAUAUUAGGGGAUAGUUAUGGGAUUUUAUAAGGGUAUUCAGGGUUAGAAUUAUCAGGAUAUUUAGGGUUAUUUUUGGGUUAGGGCUAUUUGUGAAAUAUCGUCAUAUUGUCAAAACUCUUGUUUCAUGGCAAGCAAGAAUUGAAUAUAUAACUUUCUUGCUCGAUUGAAUUUAAUAUUCCAUGGACGAAUAUAAUUUACAUACAAUUUAGUUCUGAAAGUCUUUCCUAACUUGAUAUGUUGUGUACAAAAGUUAAUGGAGCGUUUCAUACUGGUGAGCGAUAUGUAUGGUUGCCGGAUUGUAGCAAAAUUCAAUACACACAAUUUAUAUUCAAUACUCACAAUUUAUAUUUAAUACAC